rnacentral:misc_RNA from 1 species
GGAAGGAUCAUUAACACGUAUCCACGUUUCACACCGCGCACUUGUAAAAUCCGCCCUGCGUAUUACCCGAGUUAGGAACGACAUGACGAGUUUGAAUGGGGCUUAACCGCCACUCUCGUGUGCAAUAUCGAAAGGCGUAAGCUUUUCUACGACUUUAGUAAUACUCCAGGCAAACUCUAUUGCCGAAGUCUCCAUUCAAGAUGGAGGUAAUAGAAACAGCUUAACUAUUUUCACCCCUUUUUUGCUAGUUGGUUUAUCUUGUUGUUUCUCUCGUGAUUAAUUUCAUUGGAGAUUCACACGUUUAAUUAUUUGAACGUUAAAUUACAACUCUUAGCAAUGGAUAUCUAGGUUCUCGCAACGAUGAAGAACGCAGCGAAAUGCGAUACGUAAUGCGAAUUGCAGAAUUCAGUGAAUCAUCAAAUCUUUGAACGCAAAUUGCGCUCUCGGGUAGCCCUGGGAGCACGCUUCUUUCAGUAUCGGUUCAAUCACCGCUCAGCAGCGUUUGCAGCAAUGCAGACGUGAUGGCUGGAAAAUGAGUGUCUGUGUGAUCACACGCAGUCGCUUGAAAUACAUCGAGUGAAAUUCAAACCAUUAAUCAGCUCAAAGCUUCGGCUGCGAUAGUUCUCAAUUGAACGGUUGAUGUGGAGUGACGUGAAUUCUGGCCUCCGGGUCUCUUUUUACGUGUAUCUCAGCAGCAACCAUUAUGUUGAAUUAAGAGCGAACGAAUAAUGAAGAAAUUCAUGUUCAGUGGCGCAAGCUACAACCGGCUUCUGAGAAUUCUAAAUUCUCAUGAGUCUGAAUUUUGAUCUGAAAUGAAGUGAGACAACCCCCUGAAUUUAAGCAUAUUAAUAAGGGGAGGAAAAGAAACUAACAAGGAUUCCCUCAGUAACGGCGAGUGAAGCGGGAAAAGCUCAAUUUGAAAAUCGAUUUCCCAAGCGGGACAUCGAGUUGUAGCCUAGAGACGUACUAUCAGCUGAAACCUGGGUAUAAGUUCUUUGGAAUGAGGCAUCAUAGAGGGUGAGAAUCCCGUUUAUGACCCAAAGCUUUCAGCGUACGAUGUAUGUUCAUCGAGUCGAGUUGUUUGGGAUUGCAGCUCUAAAUGGGUGGUAAGUUUCAUCUAAAGCUAAAUAAUGGCGAGAGACCGAUAGCGAACAAGUACCGUGAGGGAAAGAUGAAAAGAACUUUGAAAAGAGAGUUAAAAGUACUUGAAAUUGCUAAGAGGGAAGCGCUGUCAACCAGUGCUAUGCGUCAUUCAUCGCCUUUAGCCCCACUAGCUAUUGUCGGUCGUUGGAAACUCGGCUUGCAGUGGCGAAAAGGUGGUUGGAGGUUUAGGAUGGCGUGUCAGUCAAGAUCCAUUCGAUGAGUGGGAGAAAGUAAGAGGAAAGGUAGGAAACCUCGGUUUCUGUUAUAGUCCUCUUACCCUACCUCGCGUUGGAUGGAGGAAGGAAUAGUGCGCUGCUUGCGGCUUGGUCCCUUGCUUCUAUGGCCUCAGUUGCUUUGAUCGCAAUGCUAUCUCUGUGACGAAGGGUUCUACUAAGCUUGAGGAUCUUAUGUGCUAUCACGAUCUUGUACGAAAUGGUUGACAUCGACCCGUCUUGAAACACGGACCAAGGAGUCUAACAUCUAUGCGAGUAUUUGGGUGACAAACCCGCAUGCGGAAUGAAAGUAAAGGCAGCUUCGGCUGCUGAGGUAGGAAUCCGGCAACGGAGGCACUAUCGACCGAUCAUCACUUGUGAAAGAUUUGAGUAAGAGCAUAUCUGUUGGGACCCGAAAGAUGGUGAUCUAUGCCUGAACAGGGUGAAGCCAGGGGAAACUCUGGUGGAGGCUCGUAGCGAUACUGACGUGCAAAUCGUUCGUCUGAUUUGGGUAUAGGGGCGAAAGACUAAUCGAACCAUCUAGUAGCUGGUUCCCUC